UAUAAAGUUCAGCUGGAAGUUUCCUUCUCCCUGUGGGCUUUCCCUAAUUCCACUGGCAGCCCCCUCCCCUCAAGGGCCCCUAUGAGAUAAAGUCAGAAAUGAGUUCCCUGAGGACCAGGAGUGCCUACAGGGCUCUUCCUGCUACUGCUUCUACGUUUAUAUUUUGCUCAACUCUCUAAAUUCGCCUCAGCUCUAGGUAAGGUUAAAUCCUUCUCCCAUGAUGUGGGUUUUCAGGCCCUCCAGUGAGGAUGUGUGUUUGGAAGCGGACUUUCCCCCUCUCACACUUCGGGCACUCACAGUUUUUCAGCUGUCUCUUGGAGUUUGCAGCGGCAAGCCGCUUCUUUCAAAGAUGUGAUCACUGGAGCUCCUGAAAACACCCUGGAUGCUGAGAAGGCAGUGAGGACGGGAGGAAGAGCAGCUUGUGAAACAGCUGCUGAACCUCAACGUGUCAUGUGGACUUUCUGCUCAGGAAGAAGCAGAAGAAGCCAAAGAAAAAUGUUCACAAAGCUGAAUCUGUCCCUUUUCAUGAGGAAAACAAUAGCUUUCCUAGAAGUCUCAUCUACCAGGAUUUUGCUGAAAUCUCAUUGACAAUACUGGCCAUCCCACCAUGGAAGAGAGAGCAAGAAAUACAGCCUUUUUAUUUAGCUGGGUUUAUUGCCACACCAAAUAAAAUUGGGGUUCUUUUGGUGAGAAGGAAUGAA
rnacentral:lncRNA from 13 species